UACAGAGGUCCCGAGCGUUGUUCGGAUUCAUUGGGCGUAAAGGGUGCGUAGGCGGUCUUCUAAGUUUGAUGUGAAAUCCCGGGGCUCAACCCUGGAAUUGCAUUGAAUACUGGAGGACUAGAGUACCGGAGAGGAAACUGGAAUUUACGGUGUAGCAGUGAAAUGCGUAGAGAUCGUAAGGAAGACCAGUGGCGAAGGCGGGUCUCUGGACAGUUCCUGACACUGAGGCACGAAGGCCAGGGGAGCAAACGGG
rnacentral:rRNA from 1 species